GUGAACGCUGGCGGUAGGCCUAACACAUGCAAGUCGAACGGCAGCACAGUAAGAGCUUGCUCUUACGGGUGGCGAGUGGCGGACGGGUGAGGAAUACAUCGGAAUCUACUUUUUCGUGGGAGAUAACGUAGGGAAACUUACGCUAAUACCGCAUACGACCUACGGGUGAAAGCAGGGGAUCUUCGGACCUUGCGCGAUUGAAUGAGCCGAUGUCGGAUUAGCUAGUUGGCGGGGUAAAGGCCCACCAAGGCGACGAUCCGUAGCUGGUCUGAGAGGAUGAUCAGCCACACUGGAACUGAGACACGGUCCAGACUCCUACGGGAGGCAGCAGUGGGGAAUAUUGGACAAAGGGCGCAAGCCUGAUCCAGCCAUACCGCGUGGGUGAAGAAGGCCUUCGGGUUGUAAAGCCCUUUUGUUGGGAAAGAAAAGCAGCAGGUUAAUACCCCGCUGUUCUGACGGUACCCAAAGAAUAAGCACCGGCUAACUUCGUG
rnacentral:rRNA from 1 species